rnacentral:rRNA from 1 species
GGUGCUUGCACCUGAUUGACGAUGGAUCACCAGUGAGUGGCGGACGGGUGAGUAACACGUAGGUAACCUGCCCCGGAGCGGGGAUACAUUUGGAAACCAGAUGCUAAUACCGCAUAACACAAAAGCCACAUGGCUUUGUUGAAGAUGGCUUUGGCUAUCACUCUGGGAUGGACCUGCGGUGCAUUAGCUAGUUGGUAAGGUAACGGCUUACCAAGGCGAUGAUGCAUAGCCGAGUUGAGAGACUGAUCGGCCACAAUGGAACUGAGACACGGUCCAUACUCCUACGGGAGGCAGCAGUAGGGAAUCUUCCACAAUGGGCGCAAGCCUGAUGGAGCAACACCGCGUGAGUGAAGAAGGGUUUCGGCUCGUAAAGCUCUGUUGUUGGAGAAGAACGUGCGUGAGAGUAACUGUUCACGCAGUGACGGUAUCCAACCAGAAAGUCACGGCUAACUACGUG